GUUAGGAAUAUUGGACAAUGGGCGAAAGCCUGAUCCAGCCAUGCCGCGUGAACGAUGAAGGCCUUCGGGUUGUAAAGUUCUUUAGCCGAUGAUUAUAAUGACUGUAGUCGGAAAAUAAGCCCCGGCUAACUUCGUGCCAGCAGCCGCGGUAAUACGAAGGGGGCGAGCGUUAUUCGGAAUCACUGGGCGUAAAGCGUGCGUAGGCGGUUUGGUAAGUUAGGAGUGAAAGCCCAGGGCUCAACCUUGGAAUUGCUCUUAAAACUGCAAGGCUCGAAUCUCGGAGAGGAUAGCGGAAUUUCCAGUGUAGCAGUGAAAUGCGUAGAUAUUGGAAGGAACACCAGUGGCGUAAGCGGCUAUCUGGACGAGUAUUGACGCUGAGGCACGAAAGCGUGGGGAUCAAACAGGAUUAGAUACCCGUGUAGUCC
rnacentral:rRNA from 1 species